ACUUCAAAGAUACCAUCCAUCCAUCUUGCCCUUGGGCGACCCCUUCCUCUUUCCUUCCAUUUUACCCAGCAUAAUUCUGUCCUCUAAGCUUUUCUGUCUUCUCAUUAUGUGGCCAAAGUACUUCAUCUUUGCCUCUAAUAUCAUUCCCUCCAGUGAGCAGUCGGGCAUUAUUUUCUGGAGUAUCAAACAUCCAUAUGUACUCCUGAUUAUAUAAGUGCAGAUUUCCCUUUGCAGGUGGAAGCCCAUGGACCAAACAUUUCAACCUUCACCUGAUGUGCAGUCAAGCUUUAGUAAGCUCUAAUAUUAGUAGAAUGGUUUCAAAGGUAAAAGUCAAGCUUAUGUUGACACAGCUCAUGUCUCAUUGUCAGCUAAUCUCUGAAAAAAAUGUUGAAAAACAUCUUUGCAGAGAUGGCAACGCCUGGACUGGUAGCAGAGUAAAUCCCCAUUGCUAAAAAUAUUCAUAAAACCAAGGAGCUAAACAAAAGUAGCCUUCCUUAAGUAAGCAAGUCCUUAACCGAAUCAUAGUUUCCCCCAGACGUCAGACCAACCCAGUUUAUGAAGAGCAAGAGAAAAGAAUUGGAGAUUUAACAUGAAUUUGCAGAGGCCAGUUACUGGAAAACUGAUGGAAGAGUAAAAAAUGCAAAAAAAGUCUCAGAAAAGCAACUAAGAGUUUCAAUUGAGGCUGUGUUGGCUAUUCAGAGCUUAAAGUACAUAUUUAGUAUCAACACAAUUAAAAGAGCAGCAAAUACAACACCAGUCUUUCCAGCAGGACAGGAAGGUAUAAAACGCUAGAGAAAAUAACCACCACUUUCUAAAAUCAGUGUUCCUUCAAACGUACAGAUCGUCAUUUCAAAGACUGUCAGACAACUUUUGCACUUCGAAUUCAGUCUGCAGCAACUGAAGAAAGAUGAGGACAAAGGAGAAAUGUGUAAAGUGAGAUAAAAACUAGGAUACAUAAGUUUUUUUUGGUGAACUAUCGCAAGCUGGCAUCACUUUCAGCUGAAAUUAAAUAAAAUUCCUCGGUGUCUUUCUGCUUUAACUUGAAAAACGCCUUGAGAGCUGUGGUUUCUACAGUUUCUACCAUAGGCCUAGAUAUGGCCUGAAGAUGUGAACAAAGCCUGAGGCUAAGCAAGCAUGGAUCUGAUUAGGUUCUGGAUGGGAGACAUCAGAUAAUGAACUCAAUAUUUUAAACCUAUUCAGCCAGAAAUGAAAAAGAAGAGGACAGGAUCAUCUAUUUUGGCAAAUGGUAGAUCGGCGUGAAACCCAAAUGAGUGGAUUGACGACAAAUAGUAAAGCAUAGAA